CGGUAAUUCCAGCUCCCUGAGUGGUAGGGAUGAUUAUUUGGCCUAAAGCGUUCGUAGCCGGCUUAGCAAGUUUUCCGUUAAAUCCAGCGACUUAAUCGUUGGUCUGCGGAAGAUACUACUAGGCUAGAGGACGGGAGAGGUUGACGGUAUUCCCAGUGUAGGGGUGAAAUCCAAUAAUCCUGGGAGGACCACCAGUGGCGAAGGCGGUCAACGAGAACGUGCCUGACGGUGAUGGACGAAAGCUGGGGGAGCGAACCGGAUUAGACACCCGGGUAGUCCCAGCCGUAAACGAUGCGGGCUAGGUGUUAGGGCAGCUACGAGCUGCUCUAGUGCCGCAGAGAAGUCGUUAAGCCCGCCGCCUGGGGAGUACGAUCGCAAGAUUGAAACUUAAAGGAAUUGGCGGGGGAGCACCACAAGGGGUGAAGCCUGCGGUUCAAUUGGAGUCAACGCCGGGAAACUUACCAGGGCUGACAGCAGGGUGAAGGCCAGACUAAAGCUCUUGCCAGACAAGCUGAGAGGAGGUGCAUGGCCGUCGCCAGUUCGUGCCGUGAGGUGUCCUGUUAAGUCAGGCAACGAACGAGACCCCCAUCAUUAGUUACCAGCGGGUUCCUGAGGAAUGCCGGGCACACUAAUGGAACUACCGUCGAUAAGACGGAGGAAGGAGGGGGCUACGGCAGGUCAGUAUGCCCCGAAUGCCCUGGGCCACACGCGGGCUGCAAUGGUAGGUACAGAGGGUCCCAACCCUUAAAGGGGAAGGUAAUCCCUAAACCCUAUCUCAGUCGGGAUUGAGGGCUGAAACUCGCCCUCAUGAACAUGGAAUCCCUAGUAACCGCAUGUCAUCAUCGUGCGGUGAAUACGUCCCCGCUCCUUGCACACACCGCCCGUCGCUCCAUCCAAAUCGGGUCUAGAUGAGGCGUGGUCAAAUUUGGCCGUGUCGAAUCUGGGUUCGGUGAGGGGGGAGAAGUCGUAACAAGGUAACC
rnacentral:rRNA from 1 species